UGCUGUGCUGUGAUGGCUCUAAAUAACAAACCUGUUUGGGACAGUACAGCAACCAUAAAGAAAGGCUGUUUAAUUAAUCAAUGCCUGUUCAAUGUCCACAGCUUCACUUCUAAUGUGCAAAACUAUUGAUAAACCAUCUGGGUGUGCUUUCAGAUCUUCCAACGACCGGUUGCAGUGCUACGUCGACAUGGGUGAAAGCACGACGGUGUGUGAUGGAGCAUUGAUUAACUUGGUUGUCUCCCCAAGCCACUCCGAAGCAUCAGAGGCACAAAAAAAGCCGCUGUCUGGUAGUGCGGUUGGACAUGCGGAGAAUGCAGUCAAAGGACAGUGCAAGGAAUUGUCAACGUACACACUGCCUCUGAUGCCCAUUGACGUUGCUGCACACCUCUGAAAUAUUACAGCAGGAGGCGUGCCUGACAAUCUUCAAAAGAAAAUUGAAUGGAUUGCCUACAAUUCGUCAUCUCAGACAAUGUACCCAAAUAAAUUGUGCAAUGUUGCUGCAAGGAGCCUCGUAAACCAGUACCCAGCACUGAGGGACACAUUGCACCUUGGCCAUUUCUCAUGGUAUAUGUGCCUAAGAAACAAGUACAAAAACAUGCGAAAGUGAAUGCCACCAGGAUGCCCUGAAGUCGAUGCAGAAGUGAAAGCAAGAAAGGCAAGCGAAAUUGUGACACAUGCUCAAAAUCUGGAUUUUGAAGACGGGUGAUCAGCUGCAAGUUUGCAUGCAUAUUUCACUAGAUAAACUGACUCUCCUUUCUUUGUUAUGUGGCUUAGUUGAAACAUUUAGUUGCUUCUCUUGAUGUACUUGUUCGUUUCAUUUACAUUUUUUCUUUAAAAAAUGCAAACAUGCAAUCCAGCUAUAGCAACUAUAUCUGCAAUGCUGUCACCAGAGAUUUUGUAGGCGAUCAAAGAACCAAAAUAUCAUAUCGCAUCGCCACCUUGAACCUAGAGUGAAACAUUAGUUCAAGAUGUAGUGGUAGGUGCAUUUAUAGACUAGUAAUACAGCAUUCAUACUGUAAUGUAUAUUGAUAUACAUGCUAAGAUGUAGCGAAAAUUGUGUGGCUAUGCUGCUCUGACACUUCAGUUGUUUUAACCUUUCAUUGAUGAGUUCUGCAUACAGCAUACCAAAAAAUUAUAAUUUUUCUUGCUGAUUUUCGGCAUUGAGUAAGAAGUUUCUUGUUAAAUGUAUUGAGCCAACACUGAAUGACUGGCAGCUAGUGUCAUUUGUCGGUUUAGAGCAGAAACACAGGAUGGGAAAAAUAGACAUGGGACUCGUUUUCUUUGGAAAGCACGGUCAGGGGAGACAGACCAGUGCAAGAUCUGUUGUAGUGACCUCAGACACACAAUGCAAAGAGCUCUCUGUAUAGAUUCCAAACGCAGCCAUAUGUCGCUUGGGGAGAAGCCCACUUCUUCCCCUAUACUAUAAAGGAGUUUCUACAAAAUAUCCUUUAUUUUUGUUGAUUAUGCUUAUUCUCAAUGUCUUUUGCACAUUUAGGAAAAUAAUUUGUUUUGUAUUUAUAUGCGUGGUCAUUAAAGGGUUAGACAAAUAAAGUGGUUCCAAUGAAUGUGAAUGUAUAACUUUAGCGACUCUA